UUUUAUGGCCAGAUGAGAGUAAUUUAAAUAUAAAACGUUUCUUUGCCCACUUUGGCAUUCUCCCUUCCCUUUAGUAUUUGUUGUGCAUCUACAUUAACCAGACCUCCUAAGGAGAGAGUAUUCCUUCUUAAUCUUUAAGGGGUCACUGGCCCAUAACCCACUGCUUGCUUUAUUGUACAUUUGGACUGUGUAAACUGUAAAUGAUACAUCACGUGAUGUAUAACCCUUUGUCUCAAAAACUUACAUAAUUGUACUUUCUUAUAUAAUUGAGUUUUCUGAAAAAAUGUCUCUUCAGGCUGGCUGGAAUAAAAUUUUCCAUUUCUUUCUGGGUUUGACUACUGAUUUUUUUUUUUUUUCCAUCGACAGUAGGUUCCUAAAACCCAGGUCCACUAUCUCUUUGCUUUCCCUUUUUCCCUGCCAGAGACCACGCGGGCCUCUUCACACUCUACCUUUAGGCUGCCCAACUAGUUCUCAGUUAUCAGGAGUGGAUGGAGUCAGAGGCCCUACGAGGGCUUUUGCAGUGGAGGGGGAAAAGAGGUCUCUUCCUUGAAAUGAGGAAGCCCUAGGGUGAGCACAAAAAGGCUUGAGUACAGGAAACAAAAUUAUCUCCAUCCACGUUAGCUCUGGUCAGCCCUUUCAACAACAGCCAAUUGGAAGACAGAGUUUCCAGGACUGGAAGCUCAAGAGCCAAUCAGAUCGCAGCCAGGCGGCCCUUGUCCUCUUAGGGGCUUACCUCAAUUUCCUGCUGAAGAAGCUCCAGAAACUAUCAAGGUCAGAUGACAGUGGCAGUGAAUCUUCAAACUGCUGAAAGCAAAGAUUCUACAGAUUCUACAUCCAACAGUGUGGACGACGGUGAAACACAGAAUCUACAUCCAACAGCGUGGACGACAGUGAAACACAGAAUCUACAUCCAACAGCGUGGACGACGGUGAAACACAGAUUCUACAUCCAACAGCGUGGACGACGGUGAAACACAGAAUCUACAUCCAACAGCGUGGACGACGGUGAAACACAGAAUCUACAUCCAACAGCGUGGACGACGGUGAAACACAGAAUCUACAUCCAACAGCGUGGACGACGGUGAAACACAGAUUCUACAUCCAACAGCGUGGACGACGGUGAAACACAGAAUCCACAUCCAACAGCGUGGACGACGGUGAAACACAGAAUCCACAUCCAACAGCGUGGACGACGGUGAAACACAGAAUCCACAUCCAACAGCGUGGACGACGGUGAAACACAGAUUCUACAUCCAACAGCGUGGACGACGGUGAAACACAGAAUCCACAUCCAACAGCGUGGACGACGGUGAAACACAGAUUCCACAUCCAACAGCGUGGACGACGGUGAAACACAGAUUCCACAUCCAACAGCGUGGACGACGGUGAAACACAGAUUCCACAUCCAACAGCGUGGACGACGGUGAAACACAGAAUCCACAUCCAACAGCGUGGACGACGGUGAAACACAGAUUCCACAUCCAACAGCGUGGACGACGGUGAAACACAGAAUCCACAUCCAACAGCGUGGACGACGGUGAAACACAGAUUCCACAUCCAACAGCGUGGACGACGGUGAAACACAGAUUCCACAUCCAACAGCGUGGACGACGGUGAAACACAGAAUCUACAUCCAACAGCGUGGACGACGGUGAAACACAGAUUCUACAUCCAACAGCGUGGACGACGGUGAAACACAGAUUCUACAUCCAACAGCGUGGACGACGGUGAAAUACAGAUUCUACAUCCAACAGUGUGGACGAUGGUGAAACACAGAUUCUACAUCCAACAGUGUGGACGACGGUGAAACACAGAAUCUACAUCCAAUAGUGUGGACGACGGUGAAAUACAGAUUCUACAUCCAAUAGUGUGGACAACGGUGAAAUACAGUUACUCUCAGAUAAAAGAAUGCAUCUAAUCCAAUAGUGUGAACGACGGUGAAACACAGAAUCUACAUCCAAUAGUGUGGACAACGGUGAAAUACAGUUACUCUCAGAUAAAAGAAUGCAUCUAAUCCAAGAGUGUGAACGACGGUGAAAUACAGAAUCUACAUCCAAUAGUGUGGACAACGGUGAAAUACAGUUACUCUCAGAUAAAAGAAUGCAUCUAAUCCAAUAGUGUGAACGACGGUGAAAUACAGAAUCUACAUCCAAUAGUGUGAACGACGGUGAAAUACAGUUACUCUCAGAUAAAAGAAUGCAUCUAAGAGAGUUCAUCACCAGAAGAUGUGCACCACAAGAAAUGCUGAAGGAAAUUCUUCAGGCCAAAGGGAAAUGAUACCAGGGAAAAUCUUAGACUUUCAAGAAUGAAUGAAGAGGAUCAGAAAUGGUGAAUAUCUGGGUAAAUAUGAAAGACUUUUCUUCCUGCUUUCUUUAAAAUACAGGACAGUUUAAAGCAAAAGUUUUGGCAUUAGCUUGUGGAGUUUAUAAUGUGUGUAGAUAUGAUGCAUAUAACAAAUAGAGGAUUGUAGUAAAUGGACCUUUUUGGUUACAAGGUUUCUACAUUUUAUAUAAAAUCAUACAAUAUCAUCACUAAGUAGACUGUGGAAAUUUAAAUAGUUACACUGUAAUACUGGAGAAACUACUAAAAUAUUAAUAUAUAGAGAGAGGUACAGCUGUCAAUACAUAAAAUUAAAUUCUUUAAAAAAAAAGUUGAAUAUUC